CGGCGGACGGGUGAGUAACGCGUGGGUAACCUGCCCUGUACACACGGAUAACAUACCGAAAGGUAUGCUAAUACGGGAUAACAUAAGAAAUUCGCAUGUUUUUCUUAUCAAAGCUCCGGCGGUACAGGAUGGACCCGCGUCUGAUUAGCUAGUUGGUGAGGUAAUGGCUCACCAAGGCGACGAUCAGUAGCCGACCUGAGAGGGUGAUCGGCCACAUUGGAACUGAGACACGGUCCAAACUCCUACGGGAGGCAGCAU
rnacentral:rRNA from 1 species